AUGGCGUUCUCCAAGCCCGUGGCGGCUCUCCUCCUCGCCGUGGCGCUGGCAGCGACUGCCAUGUCCGCCGCCGGUCAGGAUCCCCAAAACUGCAAGCCGAGCCGCAAGGUUACGGUGCAGAACCUGUGCGGCAAGGACCUUUACCUCGGCAUCGAGCCGCUGGCCAACAGCAAGCUGCUCUACAGCCCUGGCCACCUGCUCCGCCACGGCACCCACGUGUCGUACGACGUGUGCUCGUGGACGGGGCGCGUGAAGGUGCAGGACGCCGUGGUGACGGAGUUCCACAUCGGGUACGACGGCGGGGCGUGGUACCAGGUGAGCACCGACCAGUCGCACAUGCCCAUCCGUGUCUCCAUCACCCCCCACGGCCACCCCCUGAAAGACCACUGCCCCACCGCCGGCUGCAACAGCGGUGGCCACUGCUUCGAGCACUCCGUCCCCGGCGGCAAGUGCCACGGCGUCGACGAGAUCAAGAUCGUCUACUACAACCCCUAG
rnacentral:rRNA from 1 species